rfam:Ovis aries breed Texel chromosome 1, whole genome shotgun sequence.
CCUGGUGGCUCAGAUGGUAAAGCAUCUGCCUACAAUGCAGGAGACCCGGGUUCAAUCCCUGGGUUCGGGA